rnacentral:rRNA from 1 species
GUGGGGAAUAUUGCACAAUGGGCGCAAGCCUGAUGCAGCAACGCCGCGUGAGGGAUGACGGCCUUCGGGUUGUAAACCUCUUUUAGUAGGGAAGAAGCGAAAGUGACGGUACCUGCAGAAAAAGCACCGGCUAACUACGUGCCAGCAGCCGCGGUAAUACGUAGGGUGCAAGCGUUAUCCGGAAUUAUUGGGCGUAAAGAGCUCGUAGGCGGUCUGUCGCGUCUGCUGUGAAAACUGGAGGCUCAACCUCCAGCCUGCAGUGGGUACGGGCAGACUAGAGUGCGGUAGGGGAGAUUGGAAUUCCUGGUGUAGCGGUGGAAUGCGCAGAUAUCAGGAGGAACACCGAUGGCGAAGGCAGAUCUCUGGGCCGUAACUGACGCUGAGGAGCGAAAGCGUGGGGAGCGAACAGGAUUAGAAACCCUAGUAGUCC